CAGUGCUCGCUUUGGCAUGGAAAUUGGAGCGAUACAGAGAAGAUCAGCGCGGCCCCUGCGCACGGCUGGCAUGCAAACUCGUGAAGCGUCCCAUAGUUUU
rnacentral:snRNA from 1 species